CACGUAGGGAGCAAGCGUUGUCCGGAUUUAUUGGGCGUAAAGCGCUCGCAGGUGGUUCGUCGCGUCGUGCGUGAAAGACCCCGGCUCAACUGGGGAGUGUCGUGCGAUACGGGCGAACUGGAGGCCAGUAGGGGGAUGCGGAAUUCCGGGUGUAGUGGUGGAAUGCGUAGAGAUCCGGAGGAACACCAGCGGCGAAGGCGGCAUCCUGGACUGGUCCUGACACUCAGGAGCGAAAGCGUGGGGAGCGAUCCGG
rnacentral:rRNA from 1 species